CCCUUAGAUGUUCUGGGCUGCACGCGCGCUACACUGAAACGUUCAACGAGUAUUCACCUUGCCCGGGAGGGUUGGGUAAUCUUUUGAAAACGCUUCGUGAUGGGGAUAGAUUAUCGCAAUUUUUGAUCUUCAGCGAGGAAUUCCUAGUAAAUGCGAGUCAUCAUCUCGCGUUGAUUACGUCCCUGCCCUUUGUACACACCGCCCGUCGCACCUACCGAUUGAAUGGUCCGGUGAAGCCUCCGGAUUGCGUGGCUUCGGCUGUCGCGAGAAGUUGGCUAAACCUUACCAUUUAGAGGAAGGUGAAGUCGUAACA
rnacentral:rRNA from 1 species